CAAAAGCCAAAUCUUCGAAACCUUAUGAGAUGUGAUAGGGUUACAAGGGUAAAACAGGAACUCAGAAUAAAAAUAAGUUAAUCGAGAAAGCUCCAAAUAAACACCACUCGUCCGCCUCUCUGUCUCUCACCAAAAUAAAAAACUCAAUCUCUCUCUCUCUCUCUCCAUCGAGAAACACUAAACUGCUAUAAUCAUUACCUCUCUUCGAUUUCUCAAACCCUAUCUGGCUCUCUACCCAUAUGCUUCAGAUCCGCAUUAAAAAAGCUAAGUUUUUUGUUAUGUCCUUCUUUCUUAUUUGAUCAGUUUGUUCUUGUUUCACGAUUUUAACCUGAGAUUUUUUAUAUAUUUUCUCCAGAUCUGCUAUCCGCAGUCAUCUGUUCAUAGGAAAAGAUCUGGCUUUACUUUUAGAGAUUAUCUCAGAUCCAGCCUUUUACCCAAUUGAAGGUAGGUCCAUAUGCUGAAGAUUUAUCGCAGGAGCGACCACUACGGGAGCCGCCAUUGGAGAUUCUCUGUGAGAGAGAGAGAGAGAAAUAGUUUGAGAAUCAAUCUUCUGUAUUUUAUUGUGUAGAUCAAGUUAUUUAGUAUAUGCUAGUACUUAUGGUUAAAAUAGACUAUUAUUAAAAUUCAAAAGUAAUAAAGCCAACGAGUACACUAAACUCAGAUUAUAUUUUCCAAAACUAUUGCUAAAGAAUAUCAAUACGUACACUAGAUAUAGAAAUCGGAAUUAGGUACGUUGUGAUCCAUUUCAGCUACUGUUAGGGGUAAGAUUUGGGCUUGCUUGGCCCAAGGCCCAAAUCCAAGUCAAAGGCCUAAGCAGAAUGUUAAGUCAAGAGGGUAGGCUCGUCAAAAUCCUGGAGGAGUGUCCUACACGCAGAAGGCUAUAAAUACGGAAUAGCAUGUCUUGUCAAAGGGGGAUUCCGCCGGACACGCAGAGACACAGAGCAGCUCGUCAGCUCACCCGUCCGAAGUAUCCCG
rnacentral:lncRNA from 1 species